ACGCCCCGGGACCGAUACCAAUUUGGCCCGACCCGAGCACGUCAAACAGACGCCGAACGGACAGAGUUUUUCCUAUCCGCCCAAGGCUCAUCACAUGUACAUUUUCAUCAAUAGAGAAAAGCACUAGCGGAAACAUACACAAACGGCUUACACGAGGGUAAGCAAUAGCCAUUAGUGAAAGAAAGGAAAACUAAACAUUUAUAAGUACUAUGAUUCAAUUUAGAUCAUAUACAUUGCAGUCAACCUGUAAUUCUUUGAGCUUCUUACAUUUCGUUUCAUCAUUUCUUUCUUACAUCACAUUUACCUCAAAAUACACAUUACGUUCUUUUCUUUACAUUAUUCAUCAUCAAGUACAAAAGAUGAACA
rnacentral:lncRNA from 1 species